UUGCCUUUUGGAGUGCAAUUUACUUUCUUAUAGUAGUUUUGUGGUUGCUAGAUUGGUUAUCAACCAAGACUUCCCUAAUUGCACAUAUCACCUACAAACCAUUGUUGCUCUCCAUUUGCCAUAUUCGGUCGUGGCAAAUUUUGGAGCUCUCCUCGCAGCCAUGAGCACUGAGCAGAAAGCAAGAAUCUGUAAGUGACCUAUGCUGUAACAUUCAAUUGCUCUAUUUUAUUUUAUGUUAUUAACUGCGCAAUGGUGCUAAACAGUUCAGUUCCUAGUGGAAUUAGUCAAGUUGCUGAAAAUAAAUUUAAUGGAUGUGGGUAUGGGUAUUCUCUUAGGAGAUUCACGGAAGAUUAUAUUAUAGAAUCGACCCAUUAGGAGAGGGUGUGAAAUGACGUGGUUCUUUUGGUCGGGAGGUUUUUUCUCCACUUCUCCUAGCCUUGCUGAAGAGGUGAAUAUUGGAGGAAGGGAAAAGGAGAAGUUAUAAUAUUAUUAGACUAUCGUUACAUGGCAAUCAACCUGCAGGAUGGAUUCCACAUAAGGUUUACUAAAAAAUGUUGCUGUUAUAUAACUUAGGUAACUACAAUUUUUUGCUUGGUUUAGUCUCCUGCUUAUUUGCUGCAGCGCUAACUUGUAGGACUGCUGAACUUCAAACACCCAUCUCCACAAACGUUUCUUCAGUUUCUUGGAAUUCAACUUGUUGCUUUCUUUCUUUUUCCAUCUAAAAUUGUUUUGAUCAUUGCUCUAAUUUUGAACAGGAAAUUCAUGAUGGAAUCACUGUGCUUCCCUCUAUUGGCUCAUUUGUAUGAGGUGCUAAUCUAUCAUGCACAGGGAAGUAGUUUUACUUUUGUGGUUAAAUACUGGCUCUAAAUUUUGCUUGAGUGACUUUAUUAGCUUGAUUGGCUACAAUUUUUCCUGUUCCCUUCAAGUUUAUUAUAAUUGCUGUUCCCUUUUUAGGUUACAAAAUGAAUUAACAAAGUUAUUUGGCUCUACGGAAAAAGGAUAAGGCAUGCUACUCUUCUAAACACUGUAGUUAGCCGUGGACACCCAAAAUGGCUUUAUGUUCGUACGUCUCAUCAUCUGAACUUGUACAAAAUUUGGGUUUAACAAAGCAACCAAAGCAUAGGCGAGGUGAUGCUCAGAUACAUGCGCCAUGCGCCACAAUAAUAAGGGUUGGAUCCUUACUUAUUCUUCCUCUUCUCCAUGAUAUAAAUCUAGAUACAGUAGCUAAAUUAUUGUUUGGAUGAAUUAAUUUCCAGUGAUUGACCCGAAUAGGCUUGAAGUGGAAGCAAGAGAUGGACCGCGAAAUGGAGAAUUCCAACUAAAAUGCAUGAUAUAAAUGAGAGAAUUUACUAUAAUGUUAGUGAUGAUUGAUUGUCUUUUAGAGUUACAUAACCUGAAGGAAUUUGCACGGACUUGAUAAGUAGAUAGCGUUUGAUUUAUAGUUCUAUCUUAUUAUAAGAAUCUGCUCACCGAAGGGAAAGGACUUCUAAAUUGAUUGUUUUUAGUGAAGGUGGUCAUAUGAUAUGAUUUCUUAUGUUCGUUGUAGCAAGUAAGAGAUCUCGUGGACAUUGCUUAUUAUAAUGUGGUUGUUGAUAUCUCCCAUUCUUCUACCGUUGACAAACUACAACUUCAUGAUUUAUCCUUUUAAAACCUUAUAAAUACUGAAUUUUCAUGUGGUUUCACUUCUUAGUGUGCAUCUUUUUUGCCUAUAUUUUGCACUGUCAUAUCAUUUAAUGACUGUAGUUACUUUUGGUCUGUUGCCCCAGUGACAGGUCAAGUUUGGCAAUGGCUUGGGUCUCUUGGUCAUAACGGCUUAGAGGUCUCAAAUUCGAAUCUUCUGGUGGGUUCAAUACCAAAAGACUUUGGGGUUAGAUUCUUUAUAUACCAUUGGUUAAUUCAAGAAUUGGAGAUGAGAUACUUCGGAGGGAAUCGACAAGAGAAAAUAGAGGAACCUCUUCUUCCAAGGUAUACAAUGACAUCUUGCUAUUAUAAUUAGAUUGUUAGAUCUCUUGUGACGUGAGGAUAUUCAUUUUCUCUUUUGUUUUCUCAAAGUAUGCCUCCCCUCAGAGUGGAUCCUAAAGGAAUGAAAUGGGGUCUCCCAAAAUCAAAUUUUGGGUGGGUUAAUUUUUUAAGCAUGAUACUCUUCUUUUAUAGAUAUUUCUUUCCAACUACUUGAUUGUAUUUGCACCUGUACCACGGUUCUUUGUUUCUAUAAUAUU